AGACAGUUCGGUCCCUAUCCGUCGCAGGCGUAGGAAAUUUGAGAAGACCUGUCCUUAGUACGAGAGGACCGGGAUGGACGUACCUCUGGUGUACCAGUUGUUCUGCCAAGGGCAUGGCUGGGUAGCUGUGUACGGAAUGGAUAAGCGCUGAAAGCAUCUAAGCGCGAAGCCAACUUCAAGAUAAGAUUUCCCACCGCAAGGGUAAGACCCCAGAAAGACUA
rnacentral:rRNA from 1 species